rnacentral:rRNA from 1 species
UACGUAGGGUGCGAGCGUUGCCCGGAUUUAUUGGGCGUAAAGCGCUCGCAGGUGGUUCGUCGCGUCGUGCGUGAAAGACCCCGGCUCAACUGGGGGAGGUCGUGCGAUACGGGCGGACUGGAGGCCAGUAGGGGGAUGCGGAAUUCCGGGUGUAGUGGUGGAAUGCGUAGAGAUCCGGAGGAACACCAGCGGCGAAGGCGGCAUCCUGGACUGGUCCUGACACUCAUGAGCGAAAGCGUGGGGAGCGAUCCGG